GUACAGCCGGGCGCAGUACCAGAUCUUUCGGGCUCCUCUCUCGCCUAUUAAAGCUCCAAGGAAUCCGCCACCGGUAAGGCACAGUAUCGUCGUCCGGUGCAUCCGCCGGCGGAGAUUGCAGGGGGGGCUCGAGUGCGGGUUUUGGCCGAGGGCCCUACAGGAGCGACCUGAGAUCACAUGCGGGCGCGUGCGUCGGCCGGCCGCCCGGUGAUAUGCCGUCGCCCCUUGGCAUUUGCGUCGCAUGUGUUCUCAGGUCGCCCCUGCCGGGCCAUCCUCGGCCAUCGGCCAACGGAGUGCGGCUGUUCGGCGGUGCAUCUUGGUUGGAGUUGGGCUUGCUUCUUCCGGCAGAUGCGGAAGACGAUGCUCCCGGAUUCAGUGCGGCUUUGCAUGGUUAUAAAAAUCAAGGAGGAUUUUGUUAACGAGUAUCCAACGACACCUGAAGCAAGCAACAUUUGCAAUUUUCAAUGUAGUACAUCAUUUCACAGUUGUUAGAUUUAGAUUCUCAUUAUUAUGCGGUUUAAAUUUUUACGGUCAUGUAUAUUUUGGCGACAUCCUAAUUUGAGCUCCGCAAUAAAAGUAAGGUUCGAAUAAAUGGUUGUGAUUGUAAAUUUUUUAUUGUAUGAGGUACAAAAAAAAUAUAUCUAUUCAAAUAUAUUGUUAGUUGCGGUA